rnacentral:rRNA from 1 species
GGGGGGUGUGGGCGGGGAGGCGGGGGGAAACGUAGGGGGGGAGGGGUUGCCGGGGUGAGGGGGGGUAAGUGGCGGGCAGGUGGGUGGGUAAGUGGGGUGUGAGAGUUCUGGGCUUAACGGGGCGGUGACGUGCAAGACUGGUGGGGGUGAGGUCGAGAGAGGGGGGCAGAAGUCCCGGUGGAGGGGUGGAAUGCGGAGAUAUCGGGAGGAAUACCAGUGGCGAAAGCGGCGCCCUGGCUCGCACCUGACACUGAGGCGCGAAAGCGUGGGGAGCGAACGGGAUUAGAUACCCUGGUAGUC